UAAAAUCCAUGCUGGGGAGGUGGGAGCUCACAGCUCUGUCCUCACACAGGGCUGAGGUCUCUGGGGAAGGCAGGGCUGUGGUCUAGAGGAAGAUGAGACUGUUGGGUCUUCUCCUGUGCCUGGUGGCAGGUCCCCAAGGUGUCCUGUCCCAGGUGCAGCAGCAGGAGUCGGGCCCAGGCCUGGUGAAGCCCUCGCAGACGCUCCCCCUCACCUGCACUGUCUCUGGUGGCUCCAUCACAACCAGCUAUUAUGCUUGAAGCUGGAUCCGCCAGCCCCCAGGGAAGGGGCUGGAGUGGAUGGGAGCCAUAGCUCACACCAUGGAGCUGGGGAUGAGCUGGGUGGUCCUGGCUGCUCUUCUACAAGGUGUCCAGGCUGAGGUGCAGCUGGUGGAGUCUGGGGGAGGCUUGGUGCAGCCUGGGGGGUCUCUGAGACUCUCCUGUGCAGCCUCUGGAUUCACCUUCAGUAGCUACUGGAUGUACUGGGUCCGCCAGGCUCCAGGGAAGGGGCUCGAGUGGGUCUCAGCUAUUAAUAGUGGUGGUGGUAGCACAUACUAUGCAGACUCCGUGAAGGGCCGAUUCACCAUCUCCCAAGACAACGCCAAGAACACGCGGUAUCUGCAAAUGAACAGCCUGAAACCUGAGGACACGGCCCUGUAUUACUGUGUGAGAGACACAGUGAGGGGAAGUCGAUGUGAGCCCAGAUGCAAACCUCCCUGCAGGGACACAGGGUGGGUGCAGGGGGCUCACAUGACCCACCAGGGGGCGCACCUGAUCCACCAGGUGGUGCUCAGGGUCCACUUGCUGUGUUCAGGGUCAGCCCAAUGAGCAGGUGCAUGGGGCGGUGAUUGUCUCUUCUCAUUAAAAAAACAUAUUCUGG